rnacentral:rRNA from 1 species
CCUACGGGAGACAGCAGUGAGGAAUAUUGGUCAAUGGACGAGAGUCUGAACCAGCCAAGUAGCGUGAAGGAUGACUGCCCUAUGGGUUGUAAACUUCUUUUAUAAAGGAAUAAAACGAGGCACGUGUGCCUUUUUGCAUGUACUUUAUGAAUAAGGAUCGGCUAACUCCGUGCCAGCAGCCGCGGUAAUACGGAGGAUCCGAGCGUUAUCCGGAUUUAUUGGGUUUAAAGGGAGCGUAGAUGGGUUGUUAAGUCAGUUGUGAAAGUUUGCGGCUCAACCGUAAAAUUGCAAUUGAUACUGGCAGUCGUGAGUACAGUUGAGGUAGGCGGAAUUCGUGGUGUAGCGGUGAAAUGCUUAGAUAUCACGAAGAACCCCGAUUGCGAAGGCAGCUUACUAAACUGUGACUGACAUUGAUGCUCGAAAGUGUGGGUAUCAAACAGGAUUAGAUACCCUGGUAGUC